UUAAGAAUUGUAGGAUUGGGAUAAUAGUGAUCCUUAGGACUGCGUUUGGUUUGAAUAUAAGUAAGAACUAUUUAUUUAGAGAUAGGUACACGUUGAGAUAUAGAUAGGAGCUAGACCAAUUUUGCGUUUCAAAUGAAAAUUGGGUUGUUUCGGGGAAUAAGAUAAAUAGUAUUUAGAUGGUUAGAUUGGAAUAGGAGGAAUAAGAGUUAUAAUUUUAAAUCAAAAAUAUUUUAUUUUAUUUGAGGUAUAAGUAAGAACUUGACCAAUUUUGUGUUUAGUUGAAAAUUGAGCUAUUCUUGGAAAUAAAAUAAAUGGUGUUUGGUUCGUUAGAUUGGAACAAAGGAAUAAGAGUUAUAAUUUUAAAUUUAAAAUAUUUUAUUUAUUAAUUAAUAUCAAAUAUUAAUUAAAAAUAAUUCAAUAAAUUAAUAAAUUAUUAGCUAUGAAUAUUAUAAUAAAUUGAUAAAUUUAUAAAAAUAAAUAUUAGUUAAUUAUUUAGCUUUUUAAUUAGUUAGUAAAUUAUUUUAAUUAGAUAAUUAGUUAAAAAUUAAAUAGAUUAGUCAAAAUAAUAAUGGUUGAUCAAUAUANN
rnacentral:lncRNA from 1 species